rnacentral:rRNA from 1 species
GAUGAACGCUGGCGGCGUGCUUAACACAUGCAAGUCGAACGAGCGAGAGAGAGCUUGCUUUCUCGAGCGAGUGGCGAACGGGUGAGUAACGCGUGAGGAACCUGCCUCAAAGAGGGGGACAACAGUUGGAAACGACUGCUAAUACCGCAUAAGCCCACGGUGCCGCAUGGCACAGAGGGAAAAGGAGCAAUCCGCUUUGAGAUGGCCUCGCGUCCGAUUAGCUAGUUGGUGAGGUAAUGGCCCACCAAGGCGACGAUCGGUAGCCGGACUGAGAGGUUGAACGGCCACAUUGGGACUGAGACACGGCCCAGACUCCUACGGGAGGCAGCAGUGGGGAAUAUUGCACAAUGGGGGAAACCCUGAUGCAGCGACGCCGCGUGGAGGAAGAAGGUCUUCGGAUUGUAAACUCCUGUUGUUGGGGAAGAUAAUGACGGUACCCAACAAGGAAGUGACGGCUAACUACGUGCCAGCAGCCGCGGUAAAACGUAGGUCACAAGCGUUGUCCGGAAUUACUGGGUGUAAAGGGAGCGCAGGCGGGAAGACAAGUUGGAAGUGAAAUCUAUGGGCUCAACCCAUAAACUGCUUUCAAAACUGUUUUUCUUGAGUAGUGCAGAGGUAGGCGGAAUUCCCGGUGUAGCGGUGGAAUGCGUAGAUAUCGGGAGGAACACCAGUG